GAUGAACGCUGGCGGCGUGCCUAAUACAUGCAAGUCGAGCGAACAGACGAGGAGCUUGCUCCUUUGACGUUAGCGGCGGACGGGUGAGUAACACGUAGGUAACCUACCUAUAAGACUGGGAUAACUUCGGGAAACCGGAGCUAAUACCGGAUAAUAUUUCGAACCGCAUGGUUCGAUAGUGAAAGAUGGCUUUGCUAUCACUUAUAGAUGGACCUGCGCCGUAUUAGCUAGUUGGUAAGGUAACGGCUUACCAAGGCAACGAUACGUAGCCGACCUGAGAGGGUGAUCGGCCACACUGGAACUGAGACGCGGUCCAGACUCCUACGGGAGGCAGCAGUGGGGAAUCUUCCGCAAUGGGCGAAAGCCUGACGGAGCAACGCCGCGUGAGUGAUGAAGGUCUUCGGAUCGUAAAACUCUGUUAUUAGGGAAGAACAAACGUGUAAGUAACUGUGCACGUCUUGACGGUACCUAAUCAGAAAGCCACGGCUAACUACGU
rnacentral:rRNA from 1 species